GACGAACCGUGCGGACGUUAUUCGGAAUCACUGGGCUUAAAGCGCGUGUAGGCGGCCCGGCACGUCCGUCGCUGAAAUCCCCCGGCUCAACCGGGGAAGGGGCGUGGAUACGGCCGGGCUGGAGGGGGGUAGGGGGAGCCGGAACUUCCGGUGGAGCGGUGAAAUGCGUUGAGAUCGGAAGGAACGCCCGUGGCGAAAGCGGGCUCCUGGACCCCACCUGACGCUGAGACGCGAAAGCCAGGGGAGCGAACGGG
rnacentral:rRNA from 1 species